rnacentral:rRNA from 1 species
UACGAAGGGGGCUAGCGUUGUUCGGAAUUACUGGGCGUAAAGCGUGUGUAGGCGGACGCCUAAGUACCUUGUGAAAUCCCACGGCUCACCCGUGGAACCGCUGGGUAUACUGGGCGUCUUGGGCCAUUCAGGGGCAACUGGAACAAGCGGUGGAGCGGUGAAAUGCGUAGAUAUCGCUUGGAACGCCGACGGUGAAAACAGGUUGCUGGGAAUGUGCCGACGCUGAGACACGAAAGCCAGGGGAGCAAACGGG